rnacentral:rRNA from 1 species
AACGCGAAGAACCUUACCCAGACUUGACAUACAGUGGAAGUUAGCAGAAAUGUUAACGCUCUUCGGAGCCGCUGAACAGGUGCUGCAUGGCUGUCGUCAGCUCGUGCCGUGAGGUGUUGGGUUAAGUCCCGCAACGAGCGCAACCCUUAUCGUUAGUUGCCAACAGGUAAUGCUGGGAACUCUAGCGAGACUGCCUGGGUUAACCAGGAGGAAGGUGAGGAUGACGUCAAGUCCGCAUGGCCCUUAUGUCUGGGGCUACACACGUGCUACAAUGGCCGGUACAGAAGGCAGCGAAGCCGCGAGGUGAAGCAAAUCCCAAAAGCCGGCCCCAGUUCAGAUUGUAGUCUGCAACUCGACUACAUGAAGACGGAAUUGCUAGUAAUGGCAGGUCAGCAACACUGCCGUGAAUACGUUCCCGGGCCUUGUACACACCGCUCGCGA